AGUGAACGCUGGCGGUAGGCCUAACACAUGCAAGUCGAACGGCAGCACAGUAAGAGCUUGCUCUUACGGGUGGCGAGUGGCGGACGGGUGAGGAAUACAUCGGAAUCUACUUUUUCGUGGGGGAUAACGUAGGGAAACUUACGCUAAUACCGCAUACGACCUACGGGUGAAAGCAGGGGAUCUUCGGACCUUGCGCGAUUGAAUGAGCCGAUGUCGGAUUAGCUAGUUGGCGGGGUAAAGGCCCACCAAGGCGACGAUCCGUAGCUGGUCUGAGAGGAUGAUCAGCCACACUGGAACUGAGACACGGUGCAGACUCCUACGGGAGGCAGCAGUGGGGAAUAUUGGACAAUGGGCGCAAGCCUGAUCCAGCCAUACCGCGUGGGUGAAGAAGGCCUUCGGGUUGUAAAGCCCUUUUGUUGGGAAAGAAAAGCAGCAGGUUAAUACCCCGCUGUUCUGACGGUACCCAAAGAAUAAGCACCGGCUAACUUCGUG
rnacentral:rRNA from 1 species